AUAUUGAAAGAUAUAUAUAUAUAUGAUUUUUUUUCCCCUUCAUUUUGCUAAGAAAAAUUUUUUUAUUUAACUUUUUGUUUUUAAAUUGUGGUUUUAUUAGCUUUUUAGUUUUUAAUUAAAACAAUAAAAUUGAAAACUAUAUUAAAAAAUAUUAAAUAAAAUUAAUUGUUCUAACUAAAGUGUUUGAAGUUACAUGAAAACUUAAGCUCACUUUUAUCUGACGGAGUGCUACAUCUGUCCAAGCCUUUCUGAAGGAUUUUCUGGGCACUAAAGAGGUCAUUCGAAUUGAGAUGGCCGUCAUUAAAUGAGAAGAAGCUGGUUAUUGUUAAGGUGGCAUCAUUUACUUGUUUUCUGUUGUUUUGUAAUCGAGUUUUAUGCGUUUUCGAGCUGCUAGGUAUCUUAUGCUGAAAAUUGAGGGGAGGUUUUUUCAUGUUACGAAACUGGCGUCUGUGAAAUAGUUUCUUAAAAUGGGUUACCCCCUUUCCUUGUUUUUUUGGGAGUAGCGGCCGAAGUAUCAAAUAGAGUAAGAUAAUGGGUGUAAAAUUUGGAUUAUUAAUGAUGUAGGUCCAUUAGCUCAAAGCGGUUAGAGCGCCCGGGUCGACUGGCUUGGGAGGAUGGUGGUUCGAAUCCACCUGG
rnacentral:misc_RNA from 1 species